rnacentral:rRNA from 1 species
GACGAACGCUGGCGGCGUGCUUAACACAUGCAAGUCGAACGGAGUGGCGAACGGGUGAGUAACACGUGGGUGAUCUGCCUUGCACUUCGGGAUAAGCUUGGGAAACUGGGUGUAAUACCGGAUAGUGCAAGAUGAGCUCGCGGACUAUCAGCUUGUUGGUGGGGUAAUGGCCUACCAAGGCGUCGACGGGUAGCCGGCAUGGGAGGGUGUACGGCCACAUGGGGACUGAGAGAGGGCCCAGACUGUGACGGGGGGCAGCAGGGGGGAAUAUUGCACAAUGGGCGGAAGCCUGAUGCGGCGACGCCGCGUGGGGGAUGAAGGCCUUCGGGUUGUAAACGCCUUGCGACAGGGACGCGGUACCUGUAUAAGAAGCACCGGCUAACUACGUGCCAGCAGCCGCGGUAAUAC